rnacentral:rRNA from 1 species
GACGUAGGAGGCGAGCGUUGUCCGGAUCCAUUGGGCGUAAAGAGCACGCAGGCGGUUUGGCAAGUCGGAUGUGAAAACCCGGAGCUCAACUCCGGACCUGCAUCCGAAACUGCCCGACUAGAGGUAGGUAGGGGAGAUCGGAAUUCCUGGUGUAGCGGUGAAAUGCGCAGAUAUCAGGAGGAACACCGAUGGCGAAGGCAGAUCUCUGGGCCGUAACUGACGCUGAGGAGCGAAAGCAUGGGGAGCGAACAGG